rnacentral:rRNA from 1 species
ACUACGGGUGGCAGCAGUCGAGAAUCAUUCACAAUGGGGGAAACCCUGAUGGUGCGACGCCGCGUGGGGGAAUGAAGGUCUUCGGAUUGUAAACCCCUGUCAUGUGGGAGCAAAUUAAAAAGAUAGUACAACAAGAGGAAGAGACGGCUAACUCUGUGCCAGCAGCCGCGGUAAUACAGAGGCCUCAAGCGGUGUUCGGAAACACUGGGCGUAAAGCGUUCGGAGGCUGGUUCGUACGACGUGGGGGAAAGGGGCGGGCUCAACCCCCGGACGGCACAUGAUACUGCGAGACUAGAGUAAUGGAGGGGGAACCGGCAUUCUCGGUGUAGCAGUGAAAUGCGUAGAUAUCGAGAGGAACACUCGUGGCGAAGGCGGGUUCCUGGACAUUAACUGACGCUGAGGCACGAAGGCCAGGGGAGCGAAAGGGAUUAGAUACCCCUGUAGUC